CUCUUUUCUUUACCAUGUACUUGCUCUUCUAUAUUAGAUGCACAUUAUGAAAUUUGGCUGCAGGAAGUCUAAGAUUUAUUGGACCAGAUCACUUGUAUUAUUAAGGGUUUACUUUGCCUAGAAGCUUGGUAACGUACAGGUACGUCUGGAUGAGGUUUAAGAAGAGGCUUCCUGCCAGGAAUUUAGUUCAGUGUUUCUGCUACCUGCCUCAUAGAAGAGUCUGACAAAGCCUUGGGGACUCAGAGUUUCUCAAAAUGCUUCUGCUUUCUGGUAUGGAAGAAACUAAGCUGAUGAGCCUAACCACGUGCCAUACCUGUGUCGGUGAAGACGCGCACACAUCUCUGUCUACAUCUGCAAAAGUCCCAAGAUCUUCUUGCUUUUCAUCCUAGGUUCCUGGGCCCUGUCUUCUUCUCAGUCCCUCAAGGUGGUCUCACUGUGCCAGUUGGAUAGAAGAUAACUGAAACCCAGGAGUUGUGAGAACUGUCAGUAUCCCACAGUGUAUGGAAUGGACCAUCUUCUUUUGACUUUUUAUCAGAGUAGAAACCCUUCACAUCUUAGUCUUUAAGAAUGACUACCACGAAAGUUUCAUCUUUAUAAAAUAAUUCAGCACAACUCUGGGCAAUUUAUUUGCUGACAUGGCUCAGAGCACCUCCUCGACAGGG
rnacentral:lncRNA from 1 species